AACAGCUAAAAGUUUAGCUUCGCUUGAAGACUUGACAGUUAGUAAUUGUGGAUCAAUGCGAGAAAUAGUGGCUAAAGAAGAAGAUGAGUCAGAUCAACAUGAGAUAGCAUUUGAGAAUCUGAAAAACUUGAAGCUCAAGUCUCUCCCAAGUCUUGACAGCUUUUGCACAGGGGCUUACCAUUUGAAAUUCACAUGCUUGGAACGAGUUUCAAUAUACAAUUGCUCCCAAAUGAAGGUUUUCUCUGAUGCUGAUAUAGACGCACCAGAUAAUGUGACUAUUGCUUCAAAUGGUGAUCUCAGAGACAUGAUAGAGAAGGCUUUUAAGAAGGCAACUUGAGUUAUCAAAAUUGAAACGUUUUGCGAUGUUGUUGGCAGUUGUUUCAGGAAAUCAUCUUUGGGUGCAAGACAGGUUCAUUCUGGUUCUGCUUCUCUCAUACUACUUUAAAGCCCAUUUGUUCAGUUGAGGUUAUUAGGAAUCGUCCGUGUGGUUUUCUGAUUUGGGUUAUUUAGAAACUGAAGACUGUUGUGCAUGGUGUUUGUGUUGCAGAUUGUAAGUUGUAAUUUUCUCCCAUCGCUUAUCAAGACCAGAAAACUUUUCCAAAUCCCAUUUGGAGGUUGUGCCAUUUGUAUUUAAAUCCGAGGCUACUUCGAAGCAACUAUUUGAAUCGCACCGAAUGACGUUGUUUAGCUUAAAAUAUCAUUUGCUUAUGCCAUCAACCAUGUCUUUCUGGUAGUUUAGUAGCUGAUGAAGUAUCAGAGGAUUCGUUCAGAACGUCCUCCCUCUGCUUCUUCCUCUGAAAUUCUGGUUUCUUUGAUUAUUUGAGAGACUUAGCUUCCUGCUUUCUCACUUUUGCUUGAGCCUUUGGUGUUUUGGUCAGUUGUGCCGCUUGAACUUUCAUUUAUCAGCAUUUCCUGUGACUCGAAGGAAGCUUGAUAAUCAUUCAAACUCAUUGUGCCAGGGUCUUUAAUUAGACUCUUCA